ensembl:lncRNA
AGGCAGUGGGCGUCGUCGCUGCUAUUUCUCUGUUUGAGUUUGAUUGGCCAGCUGUUGCUUCUAGCGUCACGGCUCUGCCAGCUGAUCGGAGUGAGAAGCCGGUUUGAAGAGUUGAAGGAGAGAGAGAGAGAGAGAGAGAUAGGGGGAUAGCCCGUGAAGCGACGAGAGAAACGGGGGAACAGGGCGAGCAGGAUAUGCCUUUUUACUUCCCGUGUUAUUUAUUUUAUAACAGUUAAAUCGCACCGGACGGCUCCAAUAGAAAGAUAAGCGACAGAGUGAUGGAGAAUUUGCGAGGCUUUAAGCCACCGAAAGCUCGGGAACUGUCAGAAAAAAUUGACAGAGUUAAGGUGUGGCUGAGAGAUUUUCAAAGGCGUUUGGUAUAGUAGUGUUUAAAUUCAGGUGGUUAAGUUUAUACUGUCGUUUUGUAAGCAUGUACGGUUGAUCAGUAUGGCUGCUCCCACAUUUAUUACCAGUCAUGCUUAAUCGGGGUGAUCUUUUUUUCCUUAUGCGUUACAACUCAAUGUGCGCACCUUUUAAAUUGAGUAGCCUAAGUGCAGCAGCCUAGAUUUUGUCACAUCGUUAAUAGCCUGAUUCGUUUUUUAGGGCAGUGGGUUCCACACGUAUCGUGUCAGGAGACCCUCAAAUGUAAUGGACGUGGCAACUUUACAGUAGCCAACCCCGAUCAAUGUAACGUCAACUAUGCCAUAGGCAACUGGGCGUGGGGAAAACCGUACAUUACGUUUCUUUCAACGCCUAAUAGUCAUCAACUCGACCCUAAAGAGAGAGUUGCGCAUUUCACGCAUUAAAUAUCCGAGGCUGUGGCUGCUGACUAACGCUUCGAUGGGACCAAUCGAUGGAUUUACCUUAAAAAAGUAUACCUCUUCAAAAAAACAAAAGAAUAUUCUUUCGCUGGGGGUGGUUUGAUCAAGCACCUUUUCUACUACGUUGAGGAACCUUGGUGGUUUCCAUGAGUGAGGUUUCACCCAAAGACUCACCCUGAAGAGGUGUGAAGUUUUAGUUUGUGUGUGCAUUCUGGGUGCCUCGUGGCUGACCCACAUCAGUUCUUCACUGGCAAGCUUUAUGUCAUAUGUACCAACUAAAGCUGCCAGCUGAAGAACUGUUGUGGUUGGCUCUUUCCUGCACCUCAAGACCCCUCUCAUCAUGUGAGAUUUCUCUCCGCCUCCAUCCAGGUGACUUGUGAAGCGGAGGGGGAACAACUCCUAGGAAACGUACAGCAUUAUGUCACUAAGAUGGAUGCAACUGAGAUAAAUGUAUUAACAUGCAUGUCAAAGGAUUUUUUGCUUCUACAUUGUAUCUUGAUUAGAUUUGAUUAUAUACAUAGGCCUGAUUGUCUUGAAGGUCAAAGUUAUUUAUAUUGAUUUUACUUAUGUUGUUAAUGUUAUUAAUGUCCAGUAUGAAACAGAAGAGGCAUGUGAUAUUCCAAUGUAUGUUUCACCAACCUUGCAUCAAUGAAAAAUGACAUCAUAUUUUAAUAAAGAAUACUGCACAUCCAAGUCGUGAUUAUUUAUAUUUUUCAUUUUCAUGACUUUAGUAUGAGUCAUUGGUUGUGUUUUGAAUUCACUGAAUACUGAAAUGUUUUUUUGGUAUCACAUAACCAUGGAAAAAGGCAACAGUGAGAUAAGCACAAAUUCCUCUUUGAGGUGUAGUCAGAAACCAACACCCCGCUCACAGGAUAGACUCUAAAAACCACACCAGAAACUAACUCGCCCCGAUAUCACAUUCGUCUUUGUGUUAAAGAUCUCAUAUUGCACCCAAAACACUUUUCUUGCAUCGUUGACAUUGUCAACUGCUGAAAGGAUCAGCUGGUAAUAUUAUCACAAUUGUGAUUAGCAUUCUCAAAAGUGUGGUAGAAAUGAAAUGCACUACCAUAUACAACACGUCAUUACCGAAGAUACAAAAUCAUUA